UACGAAGGGGGCUAGCGUUGCUCGGAAUCACUGGGCGUAAAGGGUGCGUAGGCGGGUCUUUAAGUCAGGGGUGAAAUCCUGGAGCUCAACUCCAGAACUGCCUUUGAUACUGAGGAUCUUGAGUUCGGGAGAGGUGAGUGGAACUGCGAGUGUAGAGGUGAAAUUCGUAGAUAUUCGCAAGAACACCAGUGGCGAAGGCAGCCCCUGGGUCGAGAUUGACGCUCAGGCACGAAAGCGUGGGAGC
rnacentral:rRNA from 1 species